UUAGGGUUUUCUCCGUUCUUUAUCUUGGUUGUGCGACUGCGAUACAAGAUAUUCCUCUUCCAAUCUUCAUCUUUUGUGUCUCACAAGUCACAGCAAAAUUAUUAUUUACUUACUAAAGACAAGAGUUUAGAAAAAAAGAGGAGCCUCUUGUAAGCGUAAAGACAUGAUUCGAUAAAAUCAUGUAGAAAAAAUAGCACAAGGAAUCUUAAAUGGUGAGAUUCAGAUUGGGAAGGGAUUGAAUCAACAGCUAAGUCAUAAGAGGCCCGGAGAUACAUAUUAGGGGUCCCAUUAUAAAUCACUUUUGAACUUGGUUUUUUUAUUCUCCCCUGUUAUUGAGGUUCUUGAAUUUAUUUCAUGUGACGCUUCAAAUUCAUAGAAAAAGCUCAAGCGUGUGUUCUUUUGAGAAA